rnacentral:lncRNA from 1 species
UGAAUACCCUGUGCUGUGUACUGGAAACUGCAAAUGCUGGAGAAGCAAACACCAGAUGACUCUCCAGACUUCAGAGCAGAGAGAACAUUCUCCCAAGGGCCAGACUGUGAAAAUGGGGGACUUAGAGUGAGAGUG